rnacentral:rRNA from 1 species
AGCGAACGCUGGCGGCAGGCCUAACACAUGCAAGUCGAACGAACCCUUCGGGGUUAGUGGCGGGCGGGUGAGUAACACGUGGGAACGUGCCUUUAGGUUCGGAAUAACCCAGGGAAACUUGUGCUAAUACCGAAUGUGCCCUUCGGGGGAAAGAUUUAUCGCCUUUAGAGCGGCCCGCGUCUGAUUAGCUAGUUGGUGAGGUAAAGGCUCACCAAGGCUACGAUCAGUAGCUGGUCUGAGAGGAUGACCAGCCACAUUGGGACUGAGACACGGCCCAAACUCCUACGGGAGGCAGCAGUGGGGAAUCUUGCGCAAUGGGCGAAAGCCUGACGCAGCCAUGCCGCGUGGAUGAUGAAGGUCUUAGGAUUGUAAAAUCCUUUCACCGGUGAAGAUAAUGACUGUAGCCGGAGAAGAAGCCCCGGCUAACUUCGUGCCAGCCGCCGCAGUAACAC